rnacentral:rRNA from 1 species
UACGGGGGGGGCAAGCGUUGUUCGGAAUUACUGGGCGUAAAGGGCGCGUAGGCGGUUUGCUAAGUUGGAUGUGAAAACUCUGGGCUUAACCCAGAGCCUGCAUCCAAAACUGGCAAACUUGAGUACUGGAGGGGAAAGCGGAAUUCCUGGUGUAGCGGUGAAAUGCGUAGAUAUCAGGAGGAACACCGGUGGCGAAGGCGGCAUCCUGGACCGGUAUUGACGCUGAGGCGCGAAAGCGUGGGGAGCAAACAGG